CUUUUUCAUCUCGAAUGUCUGAACGGCCAAGUUGAAUCAGCACAAGCAAAAGUAACAGAGCAAAAAUCGCACGUCUUUUCAUUUUUACGUCCAUGAAGCAUGUGUCUAUCAACAAUGAAACUGACUAAUAUUGUUUCCAGUUUUAUAUACAGGGAAUGAGCCUCUUUAUUAACAGUCGACAAGCGCAAAGUUGUUUGCUUAUUCGAAAGACAAUAGUUGAUUUAUUUGAAAGAUUGGUCUUCGAUACUAUUGCACUCCAGCGUGGAUCUGCUUAUAAUGCUGCAAAAUAUGUAGUUUGAAUGUAAUCGGUAAUCUUGUCCCAUUGGAAAUGCCUGCUACGGCCAGUCUGUCUCU